rnacentral:rRNA from 1 species
GGCAGCUAACCAUGCAGUCGAGCGGUAGCACAGAGAGCUUGCUCUCGGGUGACGAGCGGCGGACGGGUGAGUAAUGUCUGGGAAACUGCCUGAUGGAGGGGGAUAACUACUGGAAACGGUAGCUAAUACCGCAUAAUGUCGCAAGACCAAAGUGGGGGACCUUCGGGCCUCAUGCCAUCARAUGUGCCCAGAUGGGAUUAGCUAGUAGGUGGGGUAACGGCUCACCUAGGCGACGAUCCCUAGCUGGUCUGAGAGGAUGACCAGCCACACUGGAACUGAGACACGGUCCAGACUCCUACGGGAGGCAGCAGUGGGGAAUAUUGCACAAUGGGCGCAAGCCUGAUGCAGCCAUGCCGCGUGUGUGAAGAAGGCCUUCGGGUUGUAAAGCACUUUCAGCGGGGAGGAAGGCGUUAAGGUUAAUAACCUUGGCGAUUGACGUUACCCGCAGAAGAAGCACCGGCUAACUCCGUGCCAGCAGCCGCGGUAAUACGGAGGGUGCAAGCGUUAAUCGGAAUUACUGGGCGUAAAGCGCACGCAGGCGGUCUGUCAAGUCGGAUGUGAAAUCCCCGGGCUCAACCUGGGAACUGCAUUCGAAACUGGCAGGCUAGAGUCUUGUAGAGGGGGGUAGAAUUCCAGGUGUAGCGGUGAAAUGCGUAGAGAUCUGGAGGAAUACCGGUGGCGAAGCGGCCCCCUGGACAAAGACUGACGCUCAGUGCGAAAGCGUGGGGAGCAAACAGGAUUAGAUACCCUGGUAGUCCACGCCGUAAACGAUGUCGAUUUGGAGGUUGUGCCCUUGAGGCGUGUCUUCCGGAGCUAACGCGUUAAAUCGACCGCCUGGGGAGUACGGCCGCAAGGUUAAAACUCAAAUGAAUUGACGGGGGCCCGCACAAGCGGUGGAGCAUGUGGUUUAAUUCGAUGCAACGCGAAGAACCUUACCUGGUCUUGACAUCCACAGAACUUUCCAGAGAUGGAUUGGUGCCUUCGGAACUGUGAGACAGUGCUGCAUGCUGUCGUCAGCUCGUG